CCUACGGGAGGCUGCAGUCGAGAAUCAUUCACAAUGGGGGAAACCCUGAUGGUGCGACGCCGCGUGGGGGAAUGAAGGUCUUCGGAUUGUAAACCCCUGUCAUGUGGGAGCAAAUUAAAAAGAUAGUACCACAAGAGGAAGAGACGGCUAACUCUGUGCCAGCAGCCGCGGUAAUACAGAGGUCUCAGGCGUUGUUCGGAAUCACUGGGCGUAAAGCGUGCGUAGGCUGUUUCGUAAGUCGUGUGUGAAAGGCGGGGGCUCAACCCUCGGACGGCACAUGAUACUGCGAGACUAGAGUAAUGGAGGGGGAACCGGAAUUCUCGGUGUAGCAGUGAAAUGCGUAGAUAUCGAGAGGAACACUCGUGGCGAAGGCGGGUUCCUGGACAUUCACUGACGCCGAUGCACGAAGGCCAGGGUAGCGAAAGGGAUUAGAUACCCUGGUAGUC
rnacentral:rRNA from 1 species